CAGCCCCCUGGGUCAAAACUGACGCUCAUGCACGAAAGCGUGGGGAGCAAACAGGAUUAGAUACCCUGGUAGUCCACGCCCUAAACGAUGUCUACUAGUUGUCGGGUCUUAAUUGACUUGGUAACGCAGCUAACGCGUGAAGUAGACCGCCUGGGGAGUACGGUCGCAAGAUUAAAACUCAAAGGAAUUGACGGGGACCCGCACAAGCGGUGGAUGAUGUGGAUUAAUUCGAUGCAACGCGAAAAACCUUACCUACCCUUGACAUGGAUGGAAUCCCGGAGAGA
rnacentral:rRNA from 1 species